rnacentral:lncRNA from 1 species
CUUUGCAUAUUUUAAUUACAUAUUGUGAUGCUUAUAUCCUCAGGCUUGUUAGCAAAUGAUACAAUUUUUCUUUUUUUAAAUUUUUAUGCAAUUUUCAAGGAUUCUUUCCAUUUGCAUUUAUUACAAAAUAUUGGCAUAUUCCCCAUGUUGUACAAUAUAUUCUUCAGCCUAUCUUACGCCCAAUAGUUUAUACUUCCCAGUCCCUAACCCCUAUAUCGCCCCUCCCCUACCUUCCCACUGGUAAUCAUAAUUCUCUAUAUCUGUGAGUCUGCUUCUUUUUUGUUAUAUUCACUAGCUUGUUGUAUUGUUUAGAUUCCACAUAUGUUAUAUCAUACAGCAUUUGUCUUUAUCUGUCUGACUUAUUUCACUUAGCAUAAUGCCCUCCAAGUCCACCCAUGUAGAUGCAAAUGGCAAUAUUUCAUGCUUUUUUUAAUAGAUGAGAAGUAUUCAAUUGUGUGUGUGUGUGUAUACACUAUAUCUUCUUUAUCCAUUCAUCUCUUGAUGGAUAGCUAGAUUGCUUCCAUAUCUUGGCAACUGUAAAUAUUGCUGUGAAUAUUGAGGUGCAUGUAUCUUUUUGAAACAGUACUUUGUUUUUUUUUUUUUUUUAAUAUAUCCCAGGAUUGGAAUUGCUGGGUCAUAUGAUUGUUUUAUUUUUAGUUUUUUGUGAAACUUCCAUGCCAUUUUCCCCAGUGGCUGUACCAAUUUACGUUUGCACCAACAGUAUGUAGUUCCCUUUUCUCCACAUCCUUGCCAACAUUUGUUAUUUGUAGACUUUCUGAUGAUAGCCAUUCUGACAGGUGUGAGGUGAUAUCUCAUUGUGGUUUUGAUUUGCAUUUCCCUGCUGAUUAGCAAUGUUCAGCAUCUUUUCAUGUGCCUGUUUGCCAUCUGCACUUCCUCUUUGGAAAAAUGUCUGUUCAGUUCUUCUGUCCAUUCUUUAAUUGGGCUGUUUGCUUUUUUCAUGUUGAAUUAUAUGAGCUGUUUAUAUGUGUUGAAUAUUAGUCCCGUAUCAGCCAUAUGAUUUACAGAUAUUUUCUCCUGUUCAGUAGAUUACCUUUUCGUUUGGUUGAAGGUUCCUUUUCUGUGCAAAAACUUUUGAAUUUAAUUAAGUCCUAUUUGUUUAUUUUUGCUUUUAUUUACUUUACUUUGGGAGAUGGAGCCCAAAGUCCUUUGAUUUAUGUCAGAGAGUGUUCUGCCUAUAUUUUCCUCUAGGAGUUUCACUGUUUUUGUUUUUGUUUUGGCUUUGCCCACAGCAUGUGGAAGUUCCCAGGCUACGGACUGAACCCAAGCCACAGUAGUGACAAUGCUGGUUCCUUAACCCACUGUGCUACGAGGGCACUCCCUCUAAGAGUUUUAUAAUAUCCAGUCUUAUGUUUAGGUCUUUAAGAAAAUGAUAUAAUUUUUCAAAUCGAAUAAAGAGAAGUGAGUAGAAGAGGAAGACAUAAAGCAUCACUGACAGAAAGGAAAAACAAAACAAAACAAAACAAAAAACAGACAGAAAAAUAGAGACUGAGGAAGAAACUGAGUGGUAUAUUUAAGAUUUAGGGACCCAGAGAGAUACAAAGAGAAGCAGAAAGUGAGAGCCAAAAUGGCCAGCAUUCUUGGGUUGCUCAUUUUCUAAUUUCCAUGUGGUGCCUUCAAAGACCUCCUUUUCACUGCCAAGAGAAGCAAGUCUGUCUCAUCAAAACUAUCCCCAGCUUGGCUGGAGGGAUAAACAGAGAUUAACAGAAAUAUCUUCUGAGAAUCCCCACUUCCACUGCAGCAGUAUUUAAAAUAGCCAGGUCAUGGAAACAACCUGUGUCCAUCAGUGGAUGAAUGAAUAAAGAAAUUUAUGUAUAUAUACAUUUCAGCCAUAAAAAAGGAGGAAAUUCUGCCAUUUGUGACAACAUGGGUGGACUUUGAGGGCAUUAUGCUAAAUGAAAUAAGUCAGGCAGAGAAUGACAAAUACUGUAUCACUUCUAUAUUAAUCUUUAAAAAACAAUCUGAAUUCAUAGAAACAGAGAAUAGAUUGGUGGUUGCCAGAGGUGAAGGAUAGGGAUUGGGGGAAAUGGGGAAAGAUGGUCAAAAGGUACAACCUUCCAGUUAUAGGAUAAAUAAGCUCUGGGGAUUUAAUGCACAGCUUGGUGAUUAGAGUUACCAAUACUGUAUCAUAUAUUUGAAAGUUGCUAAAAGAGUAAUAGAUCUUAAAUAGAUCUCUUAAUAGAUCUCUCAUGAGGGGGAAAAGUUGUUACUAUGUGAGGUGAUAUAUGUUAACUAAACUGUGAUAAUCAUUUUGUAACACAUACAUAUAUCAAAUUAUCAUAUUGUACACUAAUACAAUGAACUAAUACAGUGUUCCGCAUCGAUUAUAUCUCAAUAAAAUUGGGGAGAAAUGAUAAAUCUCUCCUGAGAGAAUAAACCUAGGCUCACUCUUCCUUUGUGAGUCUGGCAGGGCACUGCUGUGCUAUUAGGAUGUUGAAAGGAUCCUUCUGAGAGCAGGAUGGCAGUGCUGCAGCUACAUGGCAACUGUGGGAAAUCUAGAGAGCUCUUUCACAUAGGUAGAGUGAAUGACUGACUGUGGGCAAUGAUAUGGGGCUUUUGAAAAAGGACCCUCUUAACUAACUAUUUCUAUUCAUUGCCUGCCUUGGCUCUGCCAUUUGAUGUGGCAUUGGACAAAUUACUCAGCCUUUCUGAAUCUCAGAUUCCACCUUAAUAAAAAAGGACUAAUGCUGUAAGUAUAUACUAGAGGUACUGUAAAUACUUCUUUUUUCUUUUUCCUUAAUUCAUUCUCUUUUUAGCAACAGAUUUUUUUUUUUUUAAUUAGGAGUAUCUUUUUAAAAUGUCAGUGGCUCUGGGGGAGGUGUGGUAAGAUAGUUUUUCUCAAAUACCCAUCAAAGUGCCCCUAAUGGAGGAAUAAAAUAAACAUUUAGACCUCUGAGAUCUGGGGAAGGAUUUGGAAGAUUUUGCCUCAAGCACAAAAUUUAUUUGCAAUUUUAGGAUUUAUUUUAAAAGUCCAUGAAUUUUGCAUUUGACUUCAAGUCUGCAUAUUAUGCUAGUUUGUAAUGCUCUAAAAAAAUGGCACUUCCCAUAUUAUUGGCACUUCAGGAAACUGUACCAUGUUUAUCCUGCAGCUUCUUGUUCUCUUGGCACAUUACCAUAUCACCAUAUACUCCUUAGAGUCUGUAAUCGCGGCUUGAGCAGGGUGGCCUUGUGUAUCAGCUAACACACUGGCGAAUAAAGCUACAAGGGAAAUAGGAGACCCAAAGAUGACUCCAGUUCUGUCUUGAGGCCGUUUUGCCUGAUAUUCAUAUUGAGGCUACUCUAAAUCUCUAGCUAGAAACUAUGCUGAUUUUAUUCUUAGACUGAGGCAAAAGAGAUGAUAAGAGGAGAAGUAGGUUGGAGAACUAAUUUAGGGGUUUUCUGAUCUCAGCAUCCUAAGCAUUUGGCUUCGGCUUGGAGGUCUUCUUGGUUAUGUAAAGAAUGCCAAAGAAUUCUAGUCCUCUCAAAGAAGAUUUUUCUCAAACUCAAUCAUCUGAGCCCCAUGAGAGAAGAUUGAGAAUUAGAAAUUGUACUUGAACCUGAAAUAUCCUUUCAGGUAAUAUUUAUAGUCUCAGAGGCCCUGAGGUUCUCAAGGUCCUCUUGGUUUUAAGGUGCAAAUGUUACUUUAAGAUGGCCAUGCUAGUGUGAAGGUGUCAUCUAUUCUUCUGCAGCCACUAAUGUAAAGAUCCUGCUGUCAUGAAAGGUACUAAGAGGUUAAAUGGUCUUUGGAAGAGGAUCUCUUUAGAGUCAUCUCUCAACAAGUUGUCUUAGGCUGCACAGAUUGUCUCAAUCAUUACUAACAGAUGCAUCUGCAGCAAGACAAUUUUGCAAGCCCAGGCAGAAAAGAACUCAUGCUUUUCUGAAAUCUUUCCCUUGGCUCAUAUUAAAACUAGCCAGGAGAAGAGACACAGCAAAGUUUAUUAGGGACAGUUCCCUAGAGGGAAAAAUAAUGGGGAUAAUGAGACAAAUAUGCGUAAGGCAUCCUAGGGCUUCUGAAAUAAGCAGACUCUGGUCUACUGAAAUAGUUGAUGGAUAAAUGGCUUUGAUAUACGUAAUUUUAGAAAGUGUAUUCUAUUGUUAUAUUCCAAAUACAUUUGAAAUUUCCUGAAGGGGCUCUAGUCACUUUUCCAAGUAUUAUCGCCAGGAGUAGCCAACUGAAAAGCAAUCGAGUUUGCUCUGCUGACGUAGGUUGGGUAACAUUAUAGCUUAUUUUGUGGGUAAUAUUCACCCGGGCUUCAGAAAUGGCUGGACUGAGCAAUGUUCAUAUUUGGAACCAGAGCAGCCUGCAAGGGUGGGAAUAUGGGGAGGCAAAGAAGGGGAACUCCCAAUUCCUCUUCAAGCUUGGUUCUCUUUAAGAAGUAAGAAUUCAGGCUUGGGGAAAAGGUAUUGGGUCAGCUCUCUGCUUGGAGAGUUUGGGAAUCAAUCUAGUGUAGUCCAACCUUAAUCAGGAAGGAAGCAGAUGGAGUGUAUGUGUAUGUGAGAGAGAGAGACAGAGACAGAGAUAAAGAGAGAGAGAGAUUUUCUGGUUAAGGUGAGAUAAGCCAUCCAUCUAAUGGUCUAAAAGCUAUGGUAACAAGCAUGUUAGCUCCAGGUAAAUGCUGCUAAAGACUUCUCAAUUCAAUAUAAGGUCCAAAUAUGAAGAAAGGAAUUUUUCAUUUAUUCCAAAUCAGAUUACAGAGCCUCAUUUUAGUGCAUCUUUCCCAUGGAUUGUAGGUAGCCAUGACCCCAGGUGUAUAAGGGGCAAGUGCAAGAGGGUGUUCUGUGUAACAACCAGAGGGGCUUCUCCAUGCAUUACUUCUGGAUAUGUUGACCAUCUACCUAUAGGCCUGGCCUUGGCACUUGAGAAUAUGAAGUCAAGUAAAUCUAGAUACACGUUGAAUGUGAGGAGUUGCUGGUCUAUUAUAAAGGAUUCAUGUAAAGGCAUUAUAUAGUGGUUCGAGGCAUAUACAGAGGCAUUGUGGUGUAAUGGUUAAGUUCAUAGGCUUCUGAAGUCAAGGUGCUUGGGCUUAUAACCUAGUGAUACCACUAAUGAGUAACUCAAACUCACUGAAUCUCAACUUUAUCUUGUAAAAUGGGAUAGGUCCUACUAUGUAUGUAUGGAAACUAUAUAUGUAUAGGUCCUACUAUAGGAUUAUUUCGACUGUAAAUGACCUGAUAUAUGUAAAGUGCCUGAUUCAUGGUAAACAUUCAAUAAAUGGAGGGACACUAAGAUUAUGUAUAUAAAUACAUAAUGUUAUUGUUGAGAUUCGUGGAGAAAAUGGUGAGAGUUUUGAUAAUCCCCAAAUUUGGGAAUAAUGCCAUAAUCCAGCUUUGAAACCAAAAUUUUCUUUACUUCUUGUAGAUUACUACUUUUGGGAAGGAAGUGGCAACUAGACCUCAAUGAGAUAUUCUAGCUUCACAAAUCAACUUUCCACCCUAGAAAGUGCAACUUUGAGUUAGUACUCAGCAAAUGAGAAUUUGCUUCUUGCCAUGGACUCGUGGAGUUACAGAGGAAUAGUCAAAAUUAGGGCUAUUAAAUUUCGGAGAUUGUUGAAGGUUCUUAAGAUGAACAAAGCCAGUAUGAGAAUACCUAUUUGCUCAGGGAACAAGAGAUGGGGGAGCAGCCAAACAACUGUCCUGUGAUGAACUUGAAAAUUCUUGCUCUGCCCAACUCUUCCAGGUGAGCUGAGAACAGGGAGGGGUUUAGGGAGCUGAGUGGGGGUUGGGAGUUGUUGGCUGGCCCAAACCUGAGGCUCAAUUAGGCCAUGACUGCCUGGCAUUCUGUAGAUGCUUCCCAUUUUUCUGAGACAGGUGUUUAUUUUCUGUUUGAUUUUGAAUGACUAUAACUGGAUACUUUCACACAUCUCUGAAGAGUUGAGCAAGUUCAAGGCUAAGUAGAAGUGCAGCCCCAGCUAACCUUCAGUGCUCUAGCCUCCUCUUUCUGCAUAUUUUUCUCCCCACAGCUGAACGCUCUCUUCUUAAAGGGCUCCUCACCCUUUCCUGUCUCUGCCCUCCCCUUCAUCAAUUUCUGCUUCCGCAAAGGAUUUGACAUUAGUCAUUUAUAUUUCAUAGUGAAUUUAAGCCAACACGUUACUUCUCUCAGAAGUAAUUUCCCCUUAGCCUCAGAUAUAUGUGAACUCAUCUUAUGUCGGCUUUGACUUGGCUCCUAUGUUCUUUGCAGCAUGAAAACAGCUUCAGGGGCUCUAUUGUAGAUUUCAGUGUGCUACAACACGGAAGAAACUUUGUUUCAGAAGGAGUUUUAAUUCAUUGAUUUUUACUUGGAUCAAACAAAAUGUUAUCUGUACUAGGAAAAAGAACAAUGUUUGUAGGCAAAUCAGGAAAGACCAACUAUCAGAAACUGAAUACAAAAACAAAGGGAGGACAGGAAAAUAAAGAGGAGAGAGAAGAGAAGGAAGGGACUGCAGAACGGAAAACGAAAGGAAAGGAAGAGAAAUAGAAAAAGCAUCACCUCCUCCUCCUGGCUGAGAACAAAGAACCCAAAUGACAAUACAGACAAUGGUGCCUACAACAGUCAGAGCUUGACAGUGUAAACAGGUGAUACAGGAACCUGCUUGAUUUUUGCAAUAAUUUUCUCCUUUUCUUUGCUUUACAAAUCUUUACCUGUGAAAGGACUUCAAAAGCAGCCUACCACUUUUCUCAUUUCUUACUUUUUUUUUUUUAACUCAAAAUUUGCUUGCCUAAAACACACAGACAGAAAAUAACAGCAAUAACAACAACAAGAAUAAGAACAACAACAACACACACAGAGUCCAUUAGGACUUGUCUAUGACUUCCUAUCCUUGUUAGAUUUUUUUCCCCCACUCUGCUCAUGACAGUCCUUUCUCUUGCUAAGCGAUUUAUCUAAAGAUUUUAAAGGUCAUAGUUUAUUAUAUUAUUAUCUUUAAAAAUGUAUGUUAAAAAUAUAACAAAGAAUGUCCUGAUGAAUGAGCCAGCUGCUGUGCAAAACCCAGAAAUUGUUCCAAUUUAUACUUACAGGAUUUAAAAACUUGUUUUCAAACAAAGGUAAAACUAAGGAGAGAAAAGAAGAUCAUCAAAGCAAAGAGAAAGAAGUCUGAAGUCCAAAGUAUUAUGUUAGCUUUUCAAUGGAUUAAAAUAAUCGAAAUAACCCCUGAAACACAGCAGCUUUAUAUUUAGUUUAUAUAGAGGAUGCAUUGGAAAGUGAUAUACCAGCUUAAAAAUGUUUUUCUUAAAAAAUAGUUCUUUUCAUACUGAUGAGACAGAGUAAAGGUGACAAAGUCGGUGAUUAAAUGGUUAAUCCCACUAUGAGAUUAUAAGUAGAAAAAAGUAUGGGAGAUCCCUGUAAGUUAAUGAUCACUCAAGAAAGCAGGCUUUCUUAACAACAAAACCAAGCAGGCUUGCUUAGCAACAAAACCAUGAGACAUGUCCCCAAAACAAUAAAACAAUGGUGGAAUGAGCCCUGCAUCCUGCCCAGCAUGGUUAUUAGGCUAAUGAUUCCUAGGACAUAUUUCUCUGCACACACUAAAAACAAAAAUAUAGGAAAAAGUGACAUUAUACUAAAACCUGAGAUGAUUCACCAUAUUUUAGUAUAUAUUACUUUUUGUUCAUAUCCAUUGCAUCAUGACAGUCCCAGUUUGGCCAUGUAGGGACAAGAAAACUCUUCUGCUGGACAUAGGGGAGGACCUGAUGAUGACAACAUCUACUCAAGAAUGAGGAAGAAGGUGGUUUUCUCCCCCUCCCCACUUUUCCUUUGAUUACAAAACCACAGCACAUUAAGUUCUCAGGGCGUGGUCCUCCCUCAUAUUUCUCUUAAGCAUCCUAUAUUAAUAAAUUUUUUCCUUACCUGU